AUCCGGCUAAUGAGUCUAAAAUAAGACGAAACAUGCGUCCUGGAU
rfam:Schistosoma haematobium scaffold3766_4, whole genome shotgun sequence.